AUUUUGUUCGUUUUCCUUUGUCAUAACAGCUGUAGUUUCUGUAUCUGUCAAUUCGGCGGGUUUGGUUUCAUCGUCCUGACAAAAAACAGAUCAGCAAUCUCAAUGAUUAUAUGAUAUAUGAAAGAUGAGACACCGGAAACGAGGGUGGCCACGCGGAGAAAAAGUCCAAUUUUCUGGUCUGUCGGAUUCUCUCAUUAGCUUUCGCAGGGGGAAAAAUUGACAGUCAUUUUUGUACAAUUGGGUAUAAAAAAAAAUCACGUUCUUUUUAAAGUUCUGUGAUAUAUUCGAAGAAUAAAUUUUAUUCAAUAAAUUCGACAGGGAGAAAAAAAAUAAAUAAAUAAAAAAAAAAAAAAAACAAUGAGAAAAUAAAAAAUAAAGAAUGUCUAGCCAAUCAUUAUAAUUUAUAAAUGAUAAUAUUUAUAAUUCGACUGUGAACGUUCACAUGAAUGGAUAUUAUUAUAAAAAAAUGAUAAUAACGUGAAAUCAAGAUAAAAAUUUGUUUAGUUUUUAAAGAAUUUCGUAUAUACACACGUAAAUCAGAAUAUUCCUGAUGAGUCAAAAAUUAUCUACAAGAUUAUUAUAAAUUAGCAAAGCAUAAUAUUUCAUCCAAGUAUGUUAGAAAUAUUUUAAACAAAUAUGAUUCAUGUAACAUGCGGAAUAUAUGGAUUAAACAAAGUUGCGGAAGAGAUGAGUCUUCUUUUUUCGUUAGUAAAUAAUAUGACAUCUUUGGUUAAUCAAAUAUUUAUGAUAGCAAUAAAUGAAGAGAAACAAGAUAUCAAAGUUAACUUGCUUCGAAUGGUACGAGAAUAAUUUCUGCUUAACGAGAGACGAGACCGAUAUGGUCGAUCGAUAACAACAAAGGUCAAUCUACCUUCAACCGAGAAUCAUAAAUAAGUUAGAGGCGCGACAGACGAUGUUAGAAGAAAAGAAAAUUUCCCAUCAAUCUUCAUCGAAUAGAACUUCAAUAAUAUAAUAUAUUAUCGUAAUUAUUUCUAAAAACAUGCACAGAAAAACACACAUAAGUGAUUUUGUAAGAUAUUAAUAUCUAAUAUAUAAGUUUGAUAAUAUCAAUAAAAUAUAUCGUACGUAUUGUAUUCGGUUUAAUUCAAUUAAAGAUAUGUACGUAAAAUGUAAACAAAGUAUUGUGACAUUAUUGUAAUAUGAGCGUAAACGUAGUAUUUAUUUGUAAAAAUAAAUGAUGUAUAAUGUUGAAAGAUAAAAAGUAAUAAAAAUACAAAUAGGUUAAUA